rnacentral:lncRNA from 14 species
GUUCAUGCACAUGAGGGAGGGCUCAGCCCGAUCACUGUGAGUUGUCUGGACAGUAACAGGAAAAAGGAAAACUGCACAACUGCUGUGACAGGGCUGAUUUGCAAUCCAUCUCUGGCCAUCCCACAUCCAGGCUCCCAGUGCCCUCUUUGCACAGCACCUGUCAGUAGGCCCAUGUCACGAACCCUCAUGUAUCAUGAUCAGAAGAACCCAUCUAAUGUGUGGCCAUUCUUCAUGUACUGGAGGACUGAAGGUAUACAGCUGGGUCCCUCAGAUGACUCUUUUGAGUUUUUAACAUGCCUUCCCAGCAUGCGUAUGGUUUUAAAUGUGCCUUCCUCAGAAGUGAUUCAAACAGAAAAUUGCCUUGCCUACUUCACACAGAUACAGAAAGGAAGACAGUGAAAAAAUACCUGAAGUGCUGUGAAAAAGGCUGUACAAGAAUGCCAGUGGAAUGAAAAAAACACCACCAAAGUCACUGCAGAUUAGUGGAGUGUAUCUGCAGAGCUGCUUUUUCUCUGAAAACUUGUAAGCAAUCUUAUGAACAACCACUAUGCUGGAGUGGACUUGUGAAUCCUGUUCCACACUGGCUCCUCCCACAGGUGCUCAGCAGGAGGAGGAUGGAAGAUGGAGGAUGAGGGCUGGUGGCUACUGCACUGUAUGCAUUCACAGAUUUUUUUCUAUUUCUUGCUCAUGAGCUGUAGCAUACAGAUACCGCAAUGACAGCCUGGAAGAGAUCCAGCUCCCUCUGCCAUGCAACCAGAAACCUGGCAUAAAGGGAAUUUGGUGUGCUCUUGUGUUUAUGAGCAGUAGCAUGAGUAGGAAGCUCUUAGCAAAUGAGCAAGUAGACAUAUUACGAGUCAUGUCAAGACAGCACAUAACCAUCUGCGCUGGCUCCUCCAAGUGCAGUUUGAUCACCCUGAUUUCCCAUUGAACAGGACUUUACUCCAGCAUCAAUUACUUAGUUAAACCUGCAAACCAGACAGGAUCUGUCCCUAGACAGGGAUAACAAGCCAAAAAGGAAGAGAAGCGUAAGAGUGCCCUCCUAGCAGAAAUUAAAUCUCUGUCACUCACCUCUUAUCAAACUUAAUUAUCUUGAAGGGAUGAAGAGGAAAUGCUGGGAUGGGUCUGACAGCCCCCUGUUGGAGCCAACUCCCUGAGCCUGUUGUCACUGGGUGUAAACUGCUGGAAGACCAGAAUUGCUUAGGUACACACUGGAGCCCUGUGCUGGUAGACAGUGCUGCAUGCUCUGCACUUCAACAGUCUGAAGCUGAUUGCAGCACUGAGCCCUGGCUGCUUCCUGAACUCAUUUAAGAGGUUCCUGGGCCCAAGAAUGCUUGUGAACUCUUCAAGAAUAUAGCUGGACUCUGGAGCAAACAGAGGCAAAAACAAUUUACCUUGAGAAGAGGCACUCUGUCACUGGGGGUGAGGUUACUGCGGACUGUGUUCCCCUUAAGACUAAAACUCAAUACAUAAUACCUGGCCCACUUACUCCAUAUGUUGACAAUUUUCCUCCCAGAAAGAUACACUGGAGAAAAACAGGAGCUUUCCAUUUACUGACUGCAGCAACAAACAAAACCUUUGUUAGAAGCAAAAACCAGGAAGUUUUAUAUCCGCAAUGUGUAAGUGACUGGCUUUUUUUAAAUCUGAAAUGUAAUCUUUAAUUGGUAAUAAUCUAGUUACUUCCCUGGAACUAAGAUGUAAGUUUGCUAUAAAUCUCUCAAAUGCUCCUGAAAAAAUAUUUAUGCUACUGCUUUUUGUAUGUAAGCCAUCAUUCUCAACUGAGUCAUUGUGGUGUGGAUGUAAUCUGAGAAGUCAAUGCUGCUCUUUCAAGGGAUGGAUGAGUAUGCAUUUGUCUUUCAUUGUAGUUGUAGAAAAGUGGAAAAGUAAGAGGAAUAAAUGUACUUAUACA